rnacentral:rRNA from 1 species
UGGGGAAUAUUGCGCAAUGGGGGGAACCCUGACGCAGCCAUGCCGCGUGAAUGAAGAAGGCCUUCGGGUUGUAAAGUUCUUUCGGUAUUGAGGAAGGUUGAUGUGUUAAUAGCACAUCAAAUUGACGUUAAAUACAGAAGAAGCACCGGCUAACUCCGUGCCAGCAGCCGCGGUAAUACGGAGGGUGCGAGCGUUAAUCGGAAUAACUGGGCGUAAAGGGCACGCAGGCGGUUAUUUAAGUGAGGUGUGAAAGCCCCGGGCUUAACCUGGGAAUUGCAUUUCAGACUGGGUAACUAGAGUACUUUAGGGAGGGGUAGAAUUCCACGUGUAGCGGUGAAAUGCGUAGAGAUGUGGAGGAAUACCGAAGGCGAAGGCAGCCCCUUGGGAAUGUACUGACGCUCAUGUGCGAAAGCGUGGGGAGCAAACAGGAUUAGAUACCCUGGUAGUCCACGCUGUAAACGCUGUCGAUUUGGGGGUUGGGGUUUAACUCUGGCGCCCGUAGCUAACGUAAUAAAUCGACCGCCUGGGGAGUACGGCCGCAAGGUUA